rnacentral:rRNA from 1 species
UUUUUUAAUUGAAAACUUGUAUGAAUGAUUGAAUGAGAUAUUAACUGUUUCAUAAAAAUUAUAAUAGAAUUUUACUUUUUAGUUAAAAGGCUAAAAUAUUAUUAUAGGACGAGAAGACCCUAUAGAGUUUUAUAUUAAUUGAUUUAUUAUUUAUUUAGUAGUUUUAAAAUUUUAUUUUAAUUAUUAUUUUGUUGGGGUGACAAUAAAAUUUAUAAAACUUUUAUUAUUUUUUAACAUUAAUAAAUGACUAAUUGAUCCAGUUAUAUUGAUUAAAAAUUUAAAUUACCUUAGGGAUAACAGCGUAAUUUUUUUUUAGAGUUCAUAUCGAUAAAAAAUUUUGC